rnacentral:rRNA from 1 species
CCUACGGGAGGCAGCAGUGGGGAAUAUUGGGCAAUGGAGGCAACUCUGACCCAGCAACGCCGCGUGAAUGAUGAAGGUCUUCGGAUUGUAAAGUUCUGUGAUGGGGGAUGAACACAAUGACGGUACCCCAAUAGCAAGCCACGGCUAACUACGUGCCAGCAGCCGCGGUAAUACGUAGGUGGCAAGCGUUAUCCGGAAUGACUGGGCGAAAAGGGUGCGUAGGUGGUUUAGUAAGUUGGCGGUGUAAUUCCGGGGCUAGACCUCGGCGCUACCGCCAAAACUAUUAGACUAGAGUGCAGGGGGGGUAAGUGGAAUUCCUAGUGUAGCGGUGGAAUGCGUAGAUAUUAGGAGGAACAUCAGGGGCGAAGGCGACUUACUGGACUGUAACUGACACUGAGGCACGAAAGCGUGGGGAGCAAACAGGAUUAGAUACCCCUGUAGUC